UAGGGAAUAUUGCAAAAUGGGCGAAAGCCCGAUGCAGCAACGCCGCGUGGGCGAUGAAGGCCUUCGGGUCGUAAAGCCCUUUUUGAGGGGAUGAGGAAGGACAGUACCCUCAGAAUAAGCCUCGGCUAACUACGUGCCAGCAGCCGCGGUAAAACGUAGGAGGCGAGCGUUAUCCGGAUUUACUGGGCGUAAAGCGCGUGCAGGCGGAUUGGAGAGUUGGAUGUGAAAGCUCCCGGCUUAACUGGGAGAGGUCGUUCAAUACUUCCAGUCUUGAGUGCAGUAGAGGGAAGUGGAAUUCCGGGUGUAGUGGUGAAAUGCGUAGAUAUCCGGAGGAACACCAGUGGCGAAAGCGGCUUCCUGGACUGUAACUGACGCUCAGACGCGAAAGCUAUGGUAGCAAACGG
rnacentral:rRNA from 1 species